GACUGAGUGGUGUAGUGAUUACAUACCUGCGAAUAAUUGGUUUCAUCUUUCCUUGUUCGCGGGGGUUGUGGGUUCGAUUCACACCUCAGUCC